CCUACGGGAGGCUGCAGUGGGGAAUAUUGGACAAUGGGCGAAAGCCUGAUCCAGCCAUGCCGCGUGUGUGAAGAAGGCCUUCGGGUUGUAAAGCACUUUCAGUGGGGAAGAAAGCCUUGGGGCUAAUACCCUCGAGGAAGGACAUCACCCACAGAAGAAGCACCGGCUAACUCCGUGCCAGCAGCCGCGGUAAUACGGAGGGUGCGAGCGUUAAUCGGAAUUACUGGGCGUAAAGCGCGCGUAGGCGGUCUGAUAAGCCGGUUGUGAAAGCCCCGGGCUCAACCUGGGAACGGCAUCCGGAACUGUCAGGCUAGAGUGCAGGAGAGGAAGGUAGAAUUCCCGGUGUAGCGGUGAAAUGCGUAGAGAUCGGGAGGAAUACCAGUGGCGAAGGCGGCCUUCUGGACUGACACUGACGCUGAGGUGCGAAAGCGUGGGUAGCAAAUAGGAUUAGAUACCCCUGUAGUC
rnacentral:rRNA from 1 species